rnacentral:rRNA from 1 species
UUGCCAUCUGGUGGAUAGCUCGGCUCGAGAACCGAAGAAGGACGCGCCAAGCUGCGAUAAGCCUCAGGGAGCUGCAUGGAAGCCAAGAACUGAGGAUCUCCUAAUGGGAAUCCCUUCACAAUUGCCACGCGCAAUAGGGAACGUCGGGAACUGAAACAUCUUAGUACCGACAGGAAAAGAAAGCAAACCGCGAUGUCGUUAGUAACGGCGAGUGAAGACGACACAGUCCAAACCGAAGCCCUCACGGGCAAUGUGGUGUUCGGACUGACCACCAUCGACCAAUCAUCGACGAGAAGUCUUCUGGAACGAAGCGUGAUACAGGGUGACAACCCCGUAUCGUCGACGAGCGGUCGUGGGUCAACUCCAGAGUAGCGGGGGUCGGAUAUCCCUCGUCAACAUGGCUGGCAUCCUCAGCCAAGACUAAACAUUCCUCGAGACCGAUAGCGAACAAGUAGCGUGAGCGAACGCUGAAAAGCACUCCGAGAAGGACCGUGCAAUAGAGCUUGAAAUCAGGUGGCGAUGGAACGACGGGGCAUGAAAGGCUCCACGAUAAACGACCCGGAAGCGAUUCCGCAGUAGGACUCGUGGAGAGCCGAUGUCGCGUCGUGCGUUUUGAAAAACGAACCAGAGAGUGUACCUAUUCGGCGAGUCUAACUCGAUUAUCGAGGAAGGCACAGGGAAACCGAUACGGCCGCAGCAUCUUCGGAUGUGAGGGCCACCGUCUUCAAGGGCGGGGAGCCGAGUGGGUACGACCCGAAACCGAGUGAUCUACACGGGGGCAAGGUGAAGCGUGGCGAAAGCCACGUGGAGGCCUGUUAGAGUUGGUGUCCUACAAUACCCUCUCGUGACCCAUGUGUAGGGGUGAAAGGCCCAUCGAACUCGGCAACAGCUGGUUCCGACCGAAACAUGUCGAAGCAUGACCUCAACUGAGAUAGUCUGUGAGGUAGAGCGACCGAUUGGGAGACCCGCCUCCGAGAGGAGUCGGCCUCCCUGUCAAACUCCGAACUUACAGACGUCGUAGACGUUGGGAGUCCGGUCUGCGGGGUAAGCCUGUGGACCGUAAGGGAGACAACCCAGAGCUGGGUUAAGGACCCAAAAUGUGGACUAAGUGCAAUCGAAGAUAGUCUCGAGCCCUAAACAGCCGGGAGGUGAGCUUAGAAGCAGCAACCCUCUAAGAAAAGCGUAACAGCUUACCGGCCGAGGUUUGAGGCGUCGAAAAUGAUCGGGGCUCAAGUCCACUUCCGAGACCCGGCGGUACUCUUACAGAGUAAUCCAGUAGGUCGGCACUCUGAGCGGGUGGAAGCACGGGUGAGAACUCGUCGUGGACCGCUCAGUGACGAAAAUUCUGGUCACAGUAGCAGCGAGAGUCGGGUGAAAACCCCGACGGCCUAAUGAGCAAGGGUUCCUCGGCACUGCCAAUCAGCCGAGGGUUAGCCGAUCCUAAGUCCCACCGUAACUCGAAUGGGACAAAAGGGUAACUGGUUAAUAUUCCAGUGCUAUCACCACUCAAAGUCGACGCCUGGGGGUAGAUCGAGCCGGACAGUCGUCCGGUCGAAUCACUAAACUCCGUGGAAGCCGUCAUGGCACGAAGCGGACGAACGGUGAGACAGCGAAAGUCGAUCCAACCUCGGGCCCGUGAAAAGACGAGCGUGAUACUCGUACCGAGAUCCGACACAGGUGCUCAGGCGGAGAAAGCCAAGGCCUGUCGGGAUAACCGACGUUAGGGAAUUCGGCAAGUUAGUCCCGUACCUUCGGAAGAAGGGAUGCCUGCCCCUCACAGGGCAGGUCGCAGUGACUCGGACGCUCCAACUGUCUAGUAACAACACAGGUGACCGCAAAUCCGCAAGGACUCGUACGGUCACUGAAUCCUGCCCAGUGCAGGUAUCUGAACACCUCGUACAAGAGGACGAAGGACCUGUCAACGGCGGGGGUAACUAUGACCCUCUUAAGGUAGCGUAGUACCUUGCCGCUUCAGUAGCGGCUUGCAUGAAUGGAUCAAUGAGAGCGUCACUGUCCCAACGUUGGACCCGGUGAACUGUACAUUCCAGUGCGGAGUCUGGAGACCCCCAAGGGGAAGCGAAGACCCUAUAGAGCUUUACUGCAGGCUGUCGCUGAGACGUGGUCGCUGAUGUGCAGCAUAGAUAGGAGCCGUUACACAGGUACCCGCGCUAGCGGGCCACCGAGGCACCAUUGAAAUACUAUCCGUCAGUGACUGCGACUCUCACUCCGGGAGGAGAACACCGGUAGCCGGGCAGUUUGACUGGGGCGGUACGCGCUCGAAAAGAUAUCGAGCGCGCCCGAAGGUUCUCUCAUUCGGGUCGGAAACCCGAAGAAGAGCGCAAGAGCAAACGAGAGCCUGACAGUGACAUUCCCAACGAGUGUCGCUGACACGAAAGUGUGGUCUAGCGAACCGACGAGGCCCAUAGAUGGGGCCCGUCGAUGACAGAAAAGCUACCUUAGGGAUAACAGAGUCGUCACCGGCAAGAGCACAUAUCGACCCGGUGGCUUGCUACCUCGAUGUCGGUUCCCUCCAUCCUGCCUGUGCAGAAGCAGGCAAGGGUGAGGUUGUUCGCCUAUUAAAGGAGGUCGUGAGCUGGGUUUAGACCGUCGUGAGACAGGUCGGCUGCUAUCUAUUGGGGGUGCGAGGUAUCUGACGUGAACGAUCGUAUAGUACGAGAGGAACUACGAUUGGUUGCCACUGGUGUACCGGUUGUCCGACAGGGCAGUUGCCGGGCAGCCACGCAACACGGGGUAAGAGCUGAACGCAUCUAAGCUCGAAACCCACAUGGAAAAGAGAUACCACCAAGGUCACUCGUAGAAGACGAGUUCGAUAGACUCGGGGUGUACGCAACGAGGCAACGAGUUGUUCAGCCCGCGAGCACUAACAGACCAGCCAUCACUC